GGCCUCGUAGCUCAGGUGGUUAGAGCGUUAGCUACUCUGAAGCCUUUUUCCUUGUCGGUGUGGGUUCGAAUCCCAUCGAGGCCA
rnacentral:tRNA from 1 species